UUUGUCAAAAAUUACUUCCAGUAGAUCUUCUGCCUCUUCCACCCAGCGGGCAGAAGACACUGGAAAACAAGAUGGCGGAAGAUGACAGAUCCACCAAUAUUAAUGUUACUUUGGGCAACGGAAAACUUGUUUCUGUACAAGUAUCGCCAGAGUUGUAUGGACACUUUACUUCAUCAGAUCCUGCUUUAAAACAGUUGGCUAAACAGCUCAUCAUACAAGCAGCCAUGGAGAAA